rnacentral:lncRNA from 1 species
UUUGCUUACAAGGAUCUUAUGAUGCCACGUAGAGUAUGUAGAGAUAGACAGUUAAAAGACAUAAGAUAACACUAUAUAGAAAGAAAAACGAUUGAAAAUAAACUACAAUGUAGUAGUCGGCAACCAAUUAGAUGGAAAAUGUAGGCUUCUAAUCGGGUUGUUCGGAAUUGUGCACAACUACUAAAAAAAUGGAAAAAAAACAUAGAUGUUGUU